rfam:Gossypium raimondii chromosome 9, whole genome shotgun sequence.
AAACCACACAUCGGGCAUUUUCUAAUUAAUUCCUUGAAAUUCUCACAUGCUUCUUAUAAUGUCUCAUCUUCAGACUGCCUGAAUGAUGUAAUGUCAUUCCUCAGCUU